rnacentral:rRNA from 1 species
UACGCAGGGGGCUAGCGUUGUUCGGAUUUACUGGGCGUAAAGCGCACGUAGGCGGAUCGUUAAGUCGGGGGUGAAAUCCUGGAGCUCAACUCCGGAACUGCCUUUGAUACUGGCGAUCUUGAGAUCGGAAGAGGUGAGUGGAAUUCCCAGUGUAGAGGUGAAAUUCGUAGAUAUUGGGAAGAACACCAGUGGCGAAGGCGGCUCACUGGUCCGAUACUGACGCUGAGGUGCGAAAGCGUGGGGAGCAAACAGG